GUUCAGCAUUUCAUGUACCAAAUUAUCUAAUUGCGAAAAUGUUAAUGCUCAAAGGAAAAUGUUUUAUCAAGAAAGAGGGAAAAUGAUGCGCAUCCGACUAACAUUACAUGAUGGGAUGUCCGAUAUGACGAUCAAAUUAACCUUAUGAGCAGAAGCACUUAACACGAUUUGGCCGGUUGGCACCUCAAACAUAAUUUGGCGAGUUCUGAAGAUUUUGGUAAGCGGCCGAUGGGCACAAACUUCUACCCACUUACCUCUAUUGAAGGUGAUGUGAGACCAAACAAAUGAAAGAAUUUCGUUAUCAGCUUAUU